rnacentral:rRNA from 1 species
UACGAAGGGGGCUAGCGUUGCUCGGAAUCACUGGGCGUAAAGGGUGCGUAGGCGGGUUCUUAAGUCAGAGGUGAAAUCCUGGAGCUCAACUCCAGAACUGCCUUUGAUACUGAGAGUCUUGAGUACGGGAGAGGUGAGUGGAACUGCGAGUGUAGAGGUGAAAUUCGUAGAUAUUCGCAAGAACACCAGUGGCGAAGGCGGCUCACUGGCCCGGUACUGACGCUGAGGUAGCGAA